rnacentral:rRNA from 1 species
CCUACGGGAGACAGCAGUGAGGAAUAUUGGUCAAUGGUCGGGAGACUGAACCAGCCAAGCCGCGUGAGGGAUGAAGGUACAGAGUAUCGUAAACCUCUUUUGUCAGGGAACAAAGGCGGGGACGCGUCCCCGGAUGAGUGUACCUGAAGAAAAAGCAUCGGCGACCUCCGUGCCAGCAGCCGCGGUAAUACGGGGGAUGCGAGCGUUAUCCGGAUUUAUGGGGUUAAAGGGGUGCGCAGGCGGUCUGUUAAGUCAGCGGUCAAAGCCCGGGGCUCAACCCGGGCCCGCCGUUGAAACUGGCAGUCUCGAGUUGGAGAGAGGUAAGCGGAAUGCGCGGUGUAGCGGUGAAAUGCAUAGAUAUCGCGCAGAACUCCGAUGGCGAAGGCAGCAUGCCGGCUCCACACUGACGCUGAGGCACGAAAGCGUGGGUAUCGAACAGGAUUAGAUACCCCUGUAGUC